rnacentral:misc_RNA from 1 species
ACAAUUCCGAGCAAUGAUUGAGGAUAGAGAUGCGUCUGGAGGGAAGGUAAAGGGACAAGGAACUGGAACAGUUCUGAUUGUCACCCUUGUUGAUGUUGAAGCUGAAACCAGUCUCAAUGCUGCCAUGCUGGAGGAAGGACUUGCUCGAUUGGAAAGAAGGAAGAAGUGGGACAACAGGGAGCGAAAGUCGGCUCUUGACAACCUGGAAGAGUUCCAAGCCAAGGCGAAGAAAGAGAGGCGGAAGAUAUGGCAGUACGGGGACGUCCAAUCUGAUGACGAAGAAACUGCUCCACUUCCUGCAAAGAAGGCGGGAGGUCGUCGGUGAUCGAAAGUCGGUUAGUCGUAAACUGGUCGCCAAAGCUUACUAGGAAAGUUUUCGUAAUGUGUGCUUCAGUUCAGAUAUUGUGUAUUUAUACUCUGUUUUCCUUUUAAGCUUGAGGAGACAUUAUUUUUCCCACCCCUAAAUAAGGCGAACCGCCACUUAACGGCUAAAUUCGG